UCAAGUCCUCGAGAAUAGUCCUCGGGACAUAUACCACCAACAUACCUCUUAAGACCUGGGUAUCUAACAAACAAACCUAAACACCCAAGGAUUCUACAUCAACCCUCAUACCGCUUGUCAAACAAUUCCAUUACAAGUAGGACACUCUUUAUAAAUAGAAAUUCCCUUGGAUAAAAACAUCCAACCAACACAAUCCUACUAGGAGUACACUACCUACCCAUAUAAAAGUAGAACCUUGGGCCAUUUUUCAGGUACGUUUUUCAUUGUUCUUCAGCACAUAGCCUCACGCAUAUAUUUCCCUUUCUGACUUAAGCAUCGGAGGGGCGACGAGAACACACCUCGUUGCCUUUGUUUCAGGUACCGGAAGACCACGAUCGUGAUCAACCAGAAUCAUCAAGCUCGAAAAAUCAUCAGGUACGAUUUUUGGUAGCAUCAUUGGCGCCGUCUGUAGGAAACGCUACCAAAAGCCAUGGUAAACAUAUGUUCAGGUCUUCCACCAGCAAGCUCAUCCGCUCCAAACCAACCCCCUCCUGAGGAUAUCCCUGCUCCUCAAGAGGAAUCAUCAGAAGUGCCAGAGCCCCAGCCGGCAGUCGUCACUGCUAGAGCCUUUGAAGAGCUCAGACAACAGGUCGCCACACUGACUCAGCUGCUAAGCUAAAGAAAUUCGCAUCCGUCACCCACACCAGCACCCCAGGGGGGUCUUAUGACUGAUGCUCGAGCUCGAGCUCAAACACAUGUCCCUGACAAUGGCAGAGCAGGGGCCUCGGGUAUACCACAUGUGACCUCGGCCUCGAGAUCAGUGACCAUGGAGUCCGGGGAACUCGCUAGGAUUAUUCAAGAAGGAAUUAUGGCAGGUCUACUUCAGGGCAACAAAGGGACGACAAGAUUCAGUCCCAACACUCCCUUUACUCCCGAGAUAUUAAUAUUCCCCUUGCCAGACAGAUUUAAGUAUCCUAGGAUCAAAGAAUAUGAUGGGACCACCGAUCCAAUCAAUCAUUUGAACAUAUACACGGACGUCAUGAAUCUACAGGUUGCACCAGAUCAGGUGAUGUGCAAGGCCUUCCCGCAAACUUUGACGAAUGCUGCUAGGGAUUGGUUCUCAACCUUAGAGCCCAACUCCAUAGCCUCAUUCUCGAAUUUGGCGGAUAAGUUCUCUGCUUUCUUCGCAAGUAGUAAACGCAUCAGGAAGACAGCGGCUUCCCUCAUGCAACUUAGACAAGGGCAAAAUGAGACCCUACGUGACUUCAUGACCAGGUUCAACAAGGAAAGACUUCAGAUUCCCGACCUACACAUAACUGCAGCAGUUUCUGCCCUCACAUAUGCCAUAAAGUGCGAGGCUUUCAAGAUGUCUUUAUUCAAAACUCCGCCAAAGACAGUCACCGAGCUUUUUACCCGAGCCGAGAAGUACAUAAAUAUGGAGAAAACACUGAACCCGAGAAAGGUUGGACCAUCCCAUGACAGGGUCGAGCAUAAAAGACAGCACAACCCAAACCUCCGUGAAGAACAUCGAAAAAAAUAGAGACAGGAGGUUCCCCCGACGCCAUUCACGCGUUUAAAUACGUCAAAGACCAAUAUAUUGAUGGAGAUCAAGGAUAUGAAGGAACUCAAAUAGCCUGUUAGAAUGAGGUCAGCACCCGAAUCCAGGGACAUGAAUAAGUACUGUGAGUUCCAUCGGGAUCAUGGAGAACUGUAAGGCCCUGCAACGGGAGAUUGAAGCCCUUAUUAAAAGAGGACUCCUGAGUUCCUACGUCGAUAACGACAAACGCCCGAGGAAUGAUCGUGGCAGGGAAAAAGCCCCUGAGACAAAAAGGGGUGGUCAAUCUACUGCUGGAACCAUCAAUAUCAUCAUUGGAGGUAUUGCCUCGGGAGGAGACUCCAACAGUGGAAGAAAACAAUAUGCCCGACAAUAUGCUUUGGCCUCUGGGAUGCCUCAUGGAAAGCUGGAGGAUAUUACUUUUGGAAUUGGGGACUUAGAAGGUGUAUCACUUCCACAUGAUGACGCCUUGGUAAUCUCAGCGAUUGUGGCCAAUUUUGAAGUAAAGAGCAUCUUGGUUGACAACGGGAGUGUGGCCAAUAUACUUUCACAAGAAGCUUUUACAAAAAUGGGAAUCUCAUCUUAGCAGCUCAGAGCGGUUAAAACUCCUCUCUAGGGGUUUGGGGAAGGAGUCAUCACUCCAGAGGGUGUCGUGGAGCUUCCUCUAACUUUGGGUUCUGGCCAGAAAUAGGUUACGGAGAUGACAUCUUUCCAAGUGGUACGUGUCCCAAUGGCCUAUAACACUAUUCUGGGAAGACCACUCCUGAACAAGAUUAAAGCCAUUGUGUCCACCUUCCACCUAGCCAUGAAGUUUCCAACAUGUAACGGCGUUGGGGUCGUCCGUGGAGACCAGAUAGCUGCCAGGCAAUGCUAUGUUGCCAGCGUUUGGGAAAUAAAUAACGACGUCUUGCAAAUCUCGAGGAUUGAGCCCGAGGUCGGGGAACAAGUCAGACUUACUCCUGUCAAAGAAUUGAUGGAAAUUGAGCUCAAGCAUGAUAAGAAGGUGACAAUUGGAUGGGAUCUUGACGUCACCCUGAAGACAGAACUUGUUGGUUGCUUAUCUCGCAACAUUGACGUUUUUGCCUGGAAGGUUGAGGAUAUGUCAGGGAUAGACCCUAAAAUUGCAAUCCAUAGGCUUAACAUUAGCCCAGGGGCCAGACUAGUAAAGCAGAGGAAAAGACAGUUUGACCCGGAACGUCGGGAGGUCAUUCACGAAGAAAUUAACAAACUCAUCAGUGCUCAGUUCAUUCGGAAGGUCCAAUAUCCCGAUUGGCUUGCCAAUGUUGUUUUAGUAAAGAAGGCCAAUGGUAAGUGGAGGGUCUGCAUUAACUUCACAGAUCUUAACAAAGCAUGUCCAAAGGAUAGUUAUCCCCUACCACGGAUUGACAACUUGGUGGAUAGCACGUCCGGACAUAAGUUGUACAACUUCUUGGAUGCAUUUUCUGGUUAUCAUCAAAUCCUCAUGGCCGAGGAAGAUCAAGAAAAGACAUCAUUCAUGGCCGAUUCCGCCAUAUUCUGUUAUAAUGUCAUGCCUUUCGGUUUGAAGAAUGCAGGGGCAACAUACCAAAGACUCAUCAACAAAGUCUUUGCUAACUUGAUUGGAAGGAACGUGGAGAUGUACGUUGAUGACAUGGUGGUCAAGAGAAAACAGGUGGACCAGCAUAUUUCAGAUCUUGAAGAGGUUUUCGACACCUUGCGAAAGUACGGAAUGAAGUUGAACCCCGCAAAAUGUGCAUUUGGCGUGGCCUCGGGCAAGUUCUUGGGAUUUAUGAUCACUCACCGGGGGAUAAAGGCCAACCCUGACAAAAUACAAGCCUUUGCGUCUAUGGAAUCACCGAGGAACAAGAAAGAGGUACAGAGGUUGACUAGUAGGAUAGCAGCCUUGAACAGGUUCAUGUCCCGAGCAUCAGACAGGUGCUAUCCCUUCUUCAAAGUCCUCAGAAGAAACCAAGGCUUUGAUUGGAAUGAAGACUGUGAGAAAGCUUUUCAAGAGCUCAAGCAGACAUUGGCAUCUCCUCCUAUUCUCACUAGGCCUGAGCCCGGUGACACCUUAUUUUGGUACUUGGCCGUAUCUCAAAAUGCUAUCAGCAGGGUCUUGGUGAAAGAGGUUAACAAAGUCCAGCAACAUAUCUACUAUGUAAGCAAGGUCCUACUGGAUGCAGAAACAAGGUAUAUUUUCGCGGAACAACUUGCCCUUGCCUUGGUUAUAGCGGCACGAAAACUCCGACAGUAUUUUCAGUCUCACCCUAUUGUGGUGCUCACUAAUCAACCACUUAGGCAUAUACUUUAGAAGCCGGACGUAUCGGGAAGACUGAUGAAAUGGGCAAUCGAGCUUGGAGAAUUUGACAUAGAAUUCAAACCACGCCCAUCUAUCAAAGCCCAAGCUCUGGCCGACUUCAUUGCAGAACUAACCCCUAGACCUCGGGGGCCAGGUGACAGCUCGAGCAUGAGCACUAAUUUGGACACUUGGCAAAUAUUUGUGGAUGGAGCAUCGAACUCCUCGGGCUCGGGCGCAGGGGUCAUCAUCAUCAGCCCUGACAAACAAACAGAGAUCCAAUGCGCUCUCAGGUUCGAGUUUGAAGCAACCAACAACGAGGCCGAGUAUGAGGCCGUCGUUAUUGCUCUUGAGCUAGCCCUUUGCCUUAAGCUUGAGUUCGUAAAGAUAUUCAGCAACUCACAACUGGUGGUCGGAUAGAUUGAAGGAUCAUUUGAAAGGAAAGACGAGAAAAUGAGUUUGUACUGUAUAAGGGUUCAGGAUCUUCAACUAAAAUUCAAGAGUUGUGAAAUUGCAAAAAUUACUCGAAAGGACAACGAAAAAGCCGAUGCAUUAUCCAGGCUUGUGUUCAUGGGGGUAGACGGCCUUGACAGAACAGUUCACAUUAAAAUCAUCACAGAACCCAGCAUCAGUCAAAUCCUCGACAUCAUGGACAUUGACAACGAACCAUCCUGGAUGGACCCAAUCAUAGAAUUCAUCACAAGUGGAAAUCGACCAAGCGAUGCCAGGUUGGCUAGAAGCAUCAGAGCUCGAGCUCCUAGGUACUGCAUGAUAAGCGGUGUCCUCUUUCGCAGGAGUAUUACUCUUCCAUACCUAAGGUGCCUCAGACCAUCAGAGUCAUCCCAGGCUCUUGCUGAAGUUCAUGAAGGUGUGUGCGGGAAUCAUCAAGGAGCCAGGGCCUUGGACUUUAAACUCGUACAAUAUGGGUACUAUUGGCCAACUAUGAAAAAAGACGCCUCAGAAUAUGUUAAAAGAUGUGAUAGGUGCUAGAGGUUUGGUGAUGUUAUCCACUCACCAACCGAAGACCUAAUCAACAUUAACUGUUUAUCCUCGGUCCCUUUCCUGUGGCUAGAGGUCAAUUAAAGUUUGUUGCUGUAGCAGUAGAGUACUUCACAAAAUGGGUAGAGGCCGAACCUCUCGCCACAAUAUCGGAGCCCAAGCUAAGAGCCUUCACUUGGAGAUCUAUCAUUUGCAGGUUUGGGAUACCAAAGGUCCUCAUCACCGACAAUGACAGGCAAUUUGACAAUCAACAGUUUAGGGACUUUUGCUCAAACCUUGGGAUUGAUCACCAUCUGACAUCAGUUUCACAUCCUCAGAGCAAUGGUCUGGCCGAGGUAACAAAUCGAAUCAUAUUACUAGACCUCCGAACAAUAAUAGGCAAUGCUAGGGGUUCUUGGUCCGACGAGCUGCCUUCUAUACUUUGGACGUAUAGAACAACUCAUAGGACAACCACAGGAGAAACCCCCUUUAUGUUAGCCUAUGGCAUUAAAGCAAUGGUCCCGGUAGAAAUUAGACUCCCGAGCCAUAGAAGGCUCGUGCCAGAAACCUCGGAGCAUAGAACUGAACAUCUUGAUCUCUUGGAAGAAGUGUGGGAGCAAGCCGCUAUAAAGGUGGCCUCUUACCAAAUUAAGACAGCAAAAUAUUUUAAUAACAAAGUAAAGACUCGGAGGUUCAGAGCAGGCGACUUGGUCCUGAGGAGGGCCGAAGCUGCAGGUCACCCCCUUGGGAAGCUCGGGCCCAUCUGGGAAGGACCCUUUGAGGUCAUACGACAAGUUCGCAAGGGAGCAUACAGUCUAAAAGAGACUUCGGGUAGACCUCUUCCAAGGCCCUGGAACGCUGAUAAUCUGAAAAUAUACUACAAGUAACAUUCUCGAUGCCAUCUAGGAGAUUUUCUUUUUAUUCCUGCAUUUUUUUCUUUUGAAUAUUAUUUUUGGUUCCUCGGGCCUGCGCACCCUUGCAUUUUAUUUCUCUAGUUUAGCAGGUCUGCGUACCCAAGCAUGUUUUCUGUUUUCUCUCAUAAUGAACUAUGUUCGGCUUGAUCCCGUUUGGGUACGUAGACAGCUUAGAUACAAUAUAAAUCCAAGUCUAGUCCGAGAAAUUAGUAAAUUCAAGUUUCAGGUAUAACAGCCCCUUAGUUUACUUUGCGCCCAGGAGUCACCAAAGCCUUGCCCCGAGCAAGCCCCAAAGCCUUGCCCCGCGCAAGCACAAAAAGCCUUGCCCCAAGCAAGCACUCAAAAAAGCCUUGCCCCGCGCAAGCACAAAAAGCCUUGCCCCGAGCAAGCACUCAAGAAAGCCUUGCCCCAAGCAAGCACCAAAGCCUUGCCCUGCGCAAGCAAAAAAAGCCUUGAUCAUAUACUCAAGCGUAAACCGUUAUAGUAUCACCCAGGGACAUACAAAAAUCCCACAUCAUUUUUGACACUCCCGAGAAUAUCACAACCUAACUUUUUAAGUUAGUUGUGCUCGAGGUUUAUAAUCCUCGAGAAUUUCCCAUUAUAACUUUUUAAUUUAGUUGUGCUCGAGAUUUACAGUCCUCAAGAAAAUCACAACCCAACUUUUUAAGUUAGUUGUGCUCGAGGUUUAUAGGUCCUCGAGAAUGUCACAUUAUCAUUUUUUAAGAUUAGUUGUGCUCGAGGUUUACAGUCCUCGAGAAUGUCACAUCAUCACUUUUUAAUCCCUUAAAUACGCUCGAGUUGUGGAAUCCUCGAGUAAACACUUCAAUGUCGCAUGAGCAGUUAGUUUCUAAUUUGUUUGCUCGAAUGUACGGAGUCUAAGGGGUCGAUAUAAAUAGUUCGAAUAAAUUAACUUUAGAACAUACAUACACUUCAAUGUCGCAUGAGCAGUUAGUUUCUAAUUUGUUUGCUCGAAUGUACGGAGUCUAAGGGGUCGAUAUAAAUAGUUCGAAUAAAUUAACUUUAGAACAUACAUAGUCCUCGAUCAAUUUACAUGUUCAAAGUUUAAACAAAAAUUACAAAAGAUCGGGGUGUGGAAGUCAUCCAAUGUGGCCAAGAGGAGGGUCGAGGUUGCUGAUGUCGAUCUCAACGUCGUCCUCAAGACCAUCCUCCUCAUCUCCGCCCGAUUCUCCUCCAUCUUUCGAACCCGAGAGCUCCAAUGUAUCAGCAAUGGAAGGCACUGUCUUCAGGUCGUCCGGAGUGACGUCGGGCAACUUCUGACGGAGGAAGGCCCGGGCUUCUUUCAGAGCAUGGAAGUACGCCCCCGACGCGUACUCCCCUUUUAUCUUGUCAUAGUCCUCGGAGGUUUUAAACUCCUCCCAGGCCCUCUCCCUGACAGCCGCGAGCUCGCGCCCAAAAUCCUCUGUCUUCUAGAUAAGCUCAAGCCUCGCACCCUUGACCUCAUCCUUUGCUACAACAAGGUCAUCCCUGGCCUUUACAGCCUCCAUCCUAGCGUCAUCACGCUCCUUCAAUAAAACCUCGACCUGAGCCUCGAGGUCUUGAAUCCUACUGUCCUUAGAGGCCAUGGACGUCUCGACCCCAGCUGCCCUCUUGGCCUCCUCGAGCCCUUGCAAAGAAAGUCCUCGAGCUAUACUCAACAUCUGGAAAAAAUGAAGAAAAUGACAAGUAUUAAUCUCGACAAAAAAAAAACUUGAGGUUAAGUCGAAAGCUCGAAGAUUACCUUCACUGUAAGACCCUCGAGGACCUUCAUCCCAUCCUCGAGCUUGACCUCUUCCUUGUAUUUAUUUACGAGCUCAGGAGCGAGGUGGCAAGUCUCAAAAUCCUUGGUAAGAGACAGGUCAUCCUCAAGGUCAGCCACUUCAGAAGGAGGCCGAGGAGUGAUGACCCGAGGAGUGGGAGAUCUAAGGUUCGGUUGCAGAGGGGUCGAGACUUGAGGAUGUGCUCGAGAUGUUUCACCAGGCCCCUCACACCCUCAGGCGUCCCUCGAGGCCUCUUCUUGCCUUUCUUCCUCGGGAGCUGCCCCUGUGGAUGAGCAUCUGCCCUUGUGCUGACAAAGUUUCGAAGAGCCCGAGGAUCAAAAGACAUACCUGCAAAAAUUUACAAACAUUUUAGAACGAGCACAAGGUCAGGCUAUUUUUUCAAAAAAUAAUAAUAAAGGAACAUCCCUACCCUCGACGCCUCUAAUAUCUGCCAGGUCUAUAAUCUCUUCUCCAAUCUCCUUCAUCGUCGAGAAAAGGGGGCUGAGCCCGACCAGCAUCCUCCUAUGCUCUUCCAAAACAUCCGGAUACACCUGGCCCUCACAGAACUUCUCGGCGUCGGGGAUUCCCCAAUCAGGCCAGAAAGAAAGAUCGGGUUCUUGGGCUAUAACAUAAAACCACCCCUCCCUCCACCCCUUCAAAGAGCUCGCCAUCCUCGGGACUUUAAAAUCCCCAAUCGUCGAGAGAUAGCCAAAACAAGUGUAUCGAGGAUGCUUCGUAGGCUCGAACACUAAUUUACUGAGGCCAAUGUUGUGCUCGAUACCUAAGUAUCUACAUGCUAUAAAAAAAUAAACGAGCAUUCUCCAGGCGUUGGGCACUAAUUGCCCCGGGCACAUGAAGUGCUCCACUAAUAGAGCAAUAAAGAAGGGGUGAAGGGGCCACCUAAAGCCAGCCUUAAGGGUCUCCCUAAAAAUAACAAACUUCCCUCGUCGUGCUCGAACAAUCCUAUUCUCGGGGUCAGGAAAUCUAACAUCGCAAUUAGGCAUUAUACCAUAUUCCCUAGCUGCAGCUAUGACUGAGUGCUCUUUAAGCUUGCAGGGUUCGUCGGGAUACUCAAAAACCAUAUUGACCAGGGCUUCGGGAAUAGCCGUCGGUAUUAUCGAGGUCCCUACGUCCUCAUUACUGCUAGAACUACUAGAAGAUUCUCGACCCUCACUACUCGACAUCACUUAGCAAACUUAAGACCUAGCUUAUGAAUAACUUAAAGUCUCGAGCCUUACCUGGAGUUCCCGACGACUUGAGAAGUUCCCAAAGCGUUUCUCUCGAGCACGACCUCGUAGAACUCUGAUUUACAGUGUGUAAAAGUGAAAAAUAAAGGUGAGAACAACAGUAUUUAUAGGUGAAAAUGAUGGGAAGCCAAAGGUCGCUAUCUACGACCGUCCACGAAGACACGUGUCACAAAUCCAAGCCUCUCUCUGCAACGGUCAUAUCUCGACCUAUAUCAUCAGCCAUCACUUCUCGACGACGGUUCGAGAAAUGACAUAACCCAUGUGCACCCCAUCCUAAGAGCUCGAUCUCUAGGACGAGUGCACAAGGGCUAGUGACGAUGCCCAUAUUGAUAUACCCCGAGGAGUUCAUCUCGAGGACUCCAUAUAUACCCUAUCUCAUCUCUCUGUUAUGGUCCUCGGGAUCUCCCUAAGGCCUCGAGGUAUCCUUGUCCUCAAGAUACCUCGAGGACCAAUUUACAUCCUCUCAAGUCCUUGAGAAUAGUCCUCGGGACAUAUACCACCAACAUACCUCCUAAGACCUGGGUAUCUAACAAACAAACCUAAACACCCAAGGAUUCUACAUCAACCCUCAUACCACUUGUCAAACAAUUCCAUUACAAGUAGGACACUCUUUAUAAAUAGAAAUUCCCUUGGAUAAAAACAUCUAACCAACACAAUCCUACUAGGAGUACACUACCUACCCAUAUAAAAGCAGAAUCUUGGGCCAUUAUUCAGGUACGUUUUUCAUUGUU
rnacentral:lncRNA from 1 species